rnacentral:rRNA from 1 species
AUUGAACGCUGGCGGCAGGCCUAACACAUGCAAGUCGAACGGUAGCACAGAGAGCUUGCUCUCGGGUGACGAGUGGCGGACGGGUGAGUAAUGUCUGGGAAACUGCCUGAUGGAGGGGGAUAACUACUGGAAACGGUAGCUAAUACCGCAUAACGUCGCAAGACCAAAGAGGGGGACCUUCGGGCCUCUUGCCAUCGGAUGUGCCCAGAUGGGAUUAGCUUGUUGGUGAGGUAAAGGCUCACCAAGGCGACGAUCCCUAGCUGGUCUGAGAGGAUGACCAGCCACACUGGAACUGAGACACGGUCCAGACUCCUACGGGAGGCAGCAGUGGGGAAUAUUGCACAAUGGGCGCAAGCCUGAUGCAGCCAUGCCGCGUGUGUGAAGAAGGCCUUCGGGUUGUAAAGCACUUUAAGCGAGGAGGAGGCUCUUUUGGUUAAUACCCAAGAUGAGUGGACGUUACUCGCAGAAUAAGCACCGGCUAACUCUGUGCCAGCCGCCGCCGUAA